CCUACGGGCGGCAGCAGUGGGGAAUUUUGGACAAUGGGCGCAAGCCUGAUCCAGCCAUGCCGCGUGAGUGAAGAAGGCCUUCGGGUUGUAAAGCUCUUUCGGCGGGGAAGAAAUGGCGCUUGUUAAUACCGAGCGUCGAUGACGGUACCCGCAUAAGAAGCACCGGCUAACUACGUGCCAGCAGCCGCGGUAAUACGUAGGGUGCGAGCGUUAAGCGGAAUUACUGGGCGUGAUGCGUGCGCAGGGAUGUGAAAUCCCCGGGCUCAACCUGGGAACUGCAUUUGAGACUGCACGGCUAGAGUGUGACAGAGGGGGGUAGAAUUCCACGUGUAGCAGUGAAAUGCGUAGAGAUGUGGAGGAAUACCGAUGGCGAAGGCAGCCCCCUGGGUUACUACUGACGCUCAUGCACGAAAGCGUGGGGAGCAAACAGGAUUAGAUACCCGUGUAGUC
rnacentral:rRNA from 1 species